ACACAUACGUGUGUUCCUGCGAUCUCCAUGGGAGCUUCUAGAGCUCAAACCAUAAAUUCCAAGAAUUCACCAAAUUGAAAGGGGAAAUCAAGCCCAAAUCAAAAUCCAAGCAUAGAUUAGUGAUCACCGCAGUGAAGUGAUCAUAAGGCGAGGAAACCGAGUUUUCAAACGGACAAGCCAGGGGCGAUACGCGCUUGAAAGGAAAGCCUUGAAGGUAAUUUGGGAAACGUGGGGAAUAAGUGAAGAGUGUCGUGAAGAUAAAGAUUUAUUUUUAUUUCGGUAAUGUAAUGAAAAUGUAAUUAGAAUCUUUUGUUUUCAACAUUAUGGGUUGGUUUUAGUUUUGAUAUCUGUAUGAGUGACAUGCCAGCCUAUUCUGGGUUGGGGUGUUACAAUUAUGGUAUCAGAGCAAAGACUCUUUCAUGUAGAAAACUUAAACCUUAAAAAAAAAAAACUAAACCUGUGAGGUAAUUGGUAGACGUUGGGUUAGGAUUUCAACUUUUGAUCAACUUUCAUACUUGUCAGUUUGUCGUCUUUGGGUCUAUCUGCUCGAGGCGUUUCUUUUGUUAAUCGCUACUAAUCUGCUUAUGAUCAUGUUCUGUAUCUGAAUCUGUUUUAGAAUCAGCCGCAUCUCUUUGAUAUAGUAUCCGCAUCGGUUUUGUAUCGAAAUUUGUCUCAGUGUCAGUUUUAGUUUUCGAUGUAGAUUUAGAUGUUGUGUUUGGUUUAUAUCUAUUGUCACAUGUUUUAAGUGUCUGUAUUAGUAUUUGUUUUGCUUUGGUGUUGUCUCCUGUUCCACACCAGUUUUAUGUUUUAUCAAGAUAAACACUUCUACGUUUGUUAUCUUUUCGUUAUGUCUUAAAAUUAUAACAAUUGACC